GCAAAGUUACAGCAUUUUUUUCUUUCUUUUUUUGGACACCUAAUAUUGCUGAACCUACACCUGAGCAACUGAAGCAACCUCAGAUCAUAACACUGCCUCCACAGGCUUGUACUGUAGGCACUAGGCAUGAUGGGUAAGCACUUCAUCUGCCUCU